AAAUAGAUACCCAGGUAGUCCAUGCCGUAAACGUUGGGAACUAGAUGUGGGGACCAUUCCACGGUCUCCGUGUCGCAGCUAACGCAUUAAGUUCCCCGCCUGGGGAGUACGGCCGCAAGGCUAAAACUCAAAGGAAUUGACGGGGGCCCGCACAAGCGGCGGAGCAUGCGGAUUAAUUCGAUGCAACGCGAAGAACCUUACCAAGGCUUGACAUAUACGAGAACGCUCUGGAAACAGAGAACUCUUUGGACACUCGUAUACAGGUGGUGCAUGGUUGUCGUCAGCUCGUGUCGUGAGAUGUUGGGUUAAGUCCCGCAACGAGCGCAACCCUCGUCUUAUGUUGCCAGCACGGUUAUGGUGGGGACUCAUAAGAGACUGCCGGGGUCAACUCGGAGGAAGGUGGGGAUGAGGUCAAAUCAUCAUGCCCCUUAUGUCUUGGGCUUCACGCAUGCUACAAUGGCCGGUACAAAGGGCAGCAAUACCGCGAGGUGGAGCGAAUCCCGAAAAAGCCGGUCUCAGUUCGGAUUGAGGUCUGA
rnacentral:rRNA from 1 species